GGGCCUCCCAUGAUGUUCAGCACUGGGCUCCUAUCACCCCUGAGGAUGCAGUGCUUCCCAGGACCUUUGACACCUGGGGAUCUGAGAGGCCC
ensembl:snoRNA